rnacentral:ncRNA from 1 species
AGCACUUUGGCAAUAUAGGGGAUCAGAGGCAGGUUCAGUACCAGCAAAAUCAGAUUGCCAAGAUACAUCGAGAUAAUCACUGACCAGAAAAUCUGUGGUUGAUCGACCAUCAAACGUGGCCC